rnacentral:snoRNA from 1 species
UACAAUGAUGAUUAAACUUUUUUAAUUAAUAACUUUCGUUCUACUGACUGCGAUCAAACGAUCUUGUAGAGAACUUUUUAUCUGAUA